UGGGGGAUAGCUCAAUGAUUAGAGCACAUGCUUAGCAUGCACAAGGUCCUGGGUUCAAUCCCCAGUCCCUCCA
rnacentral:tRNA from 1 species